GACGGGUGCCAUCUUGACUAAGGGCAAGAGCAUUCGCACUUGCCCAGCAAGACUAAGGAAAGAAAGGCAGGCUGCCAUUUUUUGUGAGGGCACUCAGGCCGAGGCCAGGGCACGCGCCAUCUUUAUUGAGGGCAAAGGCAGGCCUCGGUCCGUUAAUUUAAGCGGGAGAUGGAAACCCAACCCUCAAAGUUCACCGACCCUCGAAGUUCCUAACCCAGGCUCAAGCGCACCUGAGAUCAGUAAACUGAGGCCCAGAGAGAGGAAAUGACUCUCCCAAAGCCGUGCACGGUAAGCGUGUCGACAGCAGCCACACCCACGGCUCCUGCCAACUAGACCGGGGCUCUCCACAACGCUGGCUGCCGUUCUUAAUGCACAGAUCAAUCACUAAACACAGAUAAUUUUGACAGAGCUGGGUCAGUGAAGUCAACCUUUCUCUCCCCAUCUCAGCAUUGCUACCUUCCUCUGCAGGCGGUCAGAAGGAUCCUGGAUGAAAAUGACCUGAAAAGAUGGGUGAGCAGCAGAUGAAAAGCUCUUGAGGAAAGAAACGAGGGAGAGGACUCACACAUUUCGAGCGUCUGUCACAAGGCGUCACCUCGCUGACAUCCCGCGGCAGAGUCCUCUGGAACAGGUGCGACCGUCAUCACCGUUUUACCCACAGAUAAGAAGACUGAGACCAAAAGAGGUCGUUGUCUCACGGUUCAUGAGUUCGAGCCCGGUGUCGGCUCUGCACUGACAGCGUGGAGCCUGCUUGGGAUUCUCUCUCUUUGCCCCUCCCCUGCUCGUUUUCUAAAUAAUAAAUUUCAGGUCUUCCUCAACAGAAGCUAAGAGUUCCCACUGCUUGAAGAGAAACGGCAGCCUAGCAAAGUCCAAGGUUCCCAGAGAUGCAAGCCCAAAUAUGUUGAUGCUUAAAUAAAAUUUAUACUGUUCAUAGUGCAGAAGACCAGGCUUGAUUUUAGACAAGCAACAGAAAUGUACAUUACCAAGCAACGUCUCUUAAGUAACUUCACAAAAAAAGAAAACAAGAGGAAAAAUCCCACCGCAUACACUUACACAGUCUUACACAAGAAUAUCCCAAGGUACUUAAAGAUCUAUCAAAGUAAAUCUGUAUUCAUCAAAUAUGAAGUGCAGGAAUAUCUUAUUACUCAACAAGAAGGAACUAGUCGAUUUAAGUCUCGCUCGACUGUCAGAAAAUUAUAAAGGAAAUAAUGUGCUUUCCAAAGAAUUGCUAACAAUUUAUUAGCCAAUUUCCAAGGCUCUUAGAAAGUUAAUCAAAAUAUGUUUGUUCCUCAUUUCUCUACAUGAUUAGAUUAUUCGGCAUUCGGAAGAAUAAACAGUUACUUUUAAUGACAGUGUUUGCCGAACUCACCAACCUACAAGAAAAUGAUAUUAUCUUGGAAUACCUAAUCACUUCAUAAUAUCUCAUAAUCAUAACAUAGCCAGUGCUCUCAAAGUGGUUGCUCUUCCUGUAAGUGGACUUUCCCGUCAUAAUUCUGCUCUGCGCACUCAAAAGACCGAUUUAAGCAGUCAUCUUUCUCCCUGAAGACGGUGCUCCUUAGUUGCUGAUGUUAAAACAAACAAACAAAAAUCCAUGAGUGGCUUUAUGGAUCCUGAUAAAGUGGUUGCCUAGUCUAGAUACCAUGCUUCACUUUUCCUGGGUAGAUUUUAAAACAAUGGGAAAGGAGCUGCUUUCUCUCUCUUUUUAAAUAUAGAAGGGAGUGGGAAAGUUUGGUUGUGAGACUGCACUAGGUGGUGCUUUCCAUGUUACUCGUGCCCCAUCGCCAAUUUCUGCAUGUAUAAGAAUUAAAUCACUCAGCAAAUAUAAAGCUUUCCCUGUGUGUGACUUCUUUUACAGAAUAAAGCCUUUACAACACCCCCUUUCAUGGUCUCCCUCUGUUAGAGGCUGUUGAAUGCUUUUUGAAGCAAAGGUCAAUGAUAUAAAUGCAAUGAAAUCAAAGACAGGGGGAAAAAAAGUCCUGUUAACAGACCACUUAUGUGUAUCCAUAGA